rnacentral:rRNA from 1 species
UACGUAGGGUGCAAGCGUUGUCCGGAAUUAUUGGGCGUAAAGAGCUCGUAGGCGGUUUGUCGCGUCUGCUGUGAAAACUCGGGGCUUAACUCCGGGCCUGCAGUGGGUACGGGCAGACUAGAGUGCGGUAGGGGAGACUGGAAUUCCUGGUGUAGCGGUGAAAUGCGCAGAUAUCAGGAGGAACACCGGUGGCGAAGGCGGGGUCUCUGGGCCGCAACUGACGCUGAGGAGCGAAAGCAUGGGGAGCGAACAGG